rnacentral:rRNA from 1 species
UACGAAGGGGGCUAGCGUUGCUCGGAAUCACUGGGCGUAAAGGGUGCGUAGGCGGGUCUUUAAGUCAGGGGUGAAAUCCUGGAGCUCAACUCCAGAACUGCCUUUGAUACUGAAGAUCUUGAGUUCGGGAGAGGGAUGUGGAAUUCCAGGUGUAGCGGUGAAAUGCGUAGAUAUCUGGAGGAACACCGGUGGCGAAGGCGGCAUCCUGGACCGGUAUUGACGCUGAGGCGCGAAAGCCGGGGGAGCAAACGGG